rnacentral:lncRNA from 1 species
UAGAAAAGGAACUUUCUUCAGUUAAACAAGGAAAAACUGAAGUUAUUGCAUUUGGAAACAAAGAUGAAGUUUUCAAGGUGAAUGCAUACCUUGACUCAAGGGGACAAACAACUAAAAAUCAAGUCAGGAAUCUUGGUGUGAUUCUGGAGACAGACCUUAGUUUCAGUAGUCAUGUCAAAGCAGUAACUAAAUCAGCAUACUAUCAUCUAAAAAACAUUGCAAGAAUUAGAUGUUUUGUUUCCAGUCAAGACUUAGAGAAACUUGUUCAUGCCUUUAUCACCAGCAGGGUGGACUAUUGUAAUGGUCUCCUCACCGGCCUUCCCAAAAAGACCAUUAGACAGCUGCAGCUCAUCCAGAACGCUGCUGCCAGGAUUCUGACUAGAACCAGAAAAUCUGAGCAUAUCACACCAGUCCUCAGGUCCUUACACUGGCUUCCAGUUACAUUUAGGAUUGAUUUUAAAGUACUUUUACUCGUUUAUAAAUCACUCAAUGACCUAGGACCAAAAUAUAUUGCAGAUAUGUUCACUGAAUAUAAACCUAACAGACCACUCAGAUCAUUAGGAUCGAGUCAGUUAGAAAUACCAAGGGUUCACACAAAACAAGGGGAGUCCGCCUUUAGUGUUACUAUGCGCCCGCAUUGGAAUCAGCUUCCAGAAGAGAUCAGAUGUGCUAAAACAUUAGUCACAUUUAAAUCUAGACUCAAAACUCAUCUGUUUAGCUGUGCAUUUGUUGAAUGAGCAAUGUGCGAUGUCCGAAUUGAUUGCACUGAUUUUACAUAUUCACUAUAUUCUAUGUAAAAUCAUUUUCUAUUUUUAACUGUUUUAAAUUCAUUUUAAAUACGUCAAUUUUUAAAUCAUUUCCAAUGUUUUAAAAUUGCCUGUUUUAUGUUUUUAAAAUUGCUUGUUUAUUUUUGUUAUUAUUUUUCUUCAUGAUUAUUUUACCUUCUUUUAUGUAAAGCACUUUGAAUUACCAUUGUGUACGAAAUGUGCUAUAUAAAUAAACUUGCCUUGCCUUGAAAGGUAUGAAAUGAAUUACAA